GUAGGGAUCUUCCACAAUGGACGAAAGUCUGAUGGAGCAACGCCGCGUGAGUGAAGAAGGUUUUCGGAUCGUAAAACUCUGUUGUUGGAGAAGAACGUAUUUGAUAGUAACUGAUCAGGUAGUGACGGUAUCCAACCAGAAAGCCACGGCUAACUACGUGCCAGCAGCCGCGGUAAUACGUAGGUGGCAAGCGUUGUCCGGAUUUAUUGGGCGUAAAGCGAGCGCAGGCGGUUUCUUAAGUCUGAUGUGAAAGCCUUCGGCUCAACCGAAGAAGUGCAUCGGAAACUGGGAAACUUGAGUGCAGAAGAGGACAGUGGAACUCCAUGUGUAGCGGUGAAAUGCGUAGAUAUAUGGAAGAACACCAGUGGCGAAGGCGGCUGUCUGGUCUGUAACUGACGCUGAGGCUCGAAAGCAUGGGUAGCAAACAGGAUUAGAUACCCUGGUAGUCCAUGCCGUAAACGAUGAGUGCUAGGUGUUGGAGGGUUUCCGCCCUUCAGUGCCGCAGCUAACGCAUUAAGCACUCCGCCUGGGGAGUACGACCGCAAGGUUGAAACUCAAAGGAAUUGACGGGCCCCC
rnacentral:rRNA from 1 species